AUGUUAUCAAGAAAGGCUGAGGGAAUAGACCCUAUGAAGCCUUAGCAACCCUUUCACUUAGAAAGAAGGUGCUACAUUCUACAGUACAGCCAAUCAUUUCUGGUUUGUACAGAUAGAUAACCC
rnacentral:ncRNA from 2 species